rnacentral:rRNA from 1 species
GAUGAACGCUGGCGGCGUGCCUAAUACAUGCAAGUCGAGCGAACAGACGAGGCGCUUGCUCCUCUGACGUUAGCGGCGGACGGGUGAGUAACACGUGGAUAACCUACCUAUAAGACUGGGAUAACUUCGGGAAACCGGAGCUAAUACCGGAUAAUAUAUUGAACCGCAUGGUUCAAUAGUGAAAGACGGUUUUGCUGACACUUAUAGAUGGAUCCGCGCCGCAUUAGCUAGUUGGUAAGGUAACGGCUUACCAAGGCAACGAUGCGUAGCCGACCUGAGAGGGUGAUCGGCCACACUGGAACUGAGACACGGUCCAGACUCCUACGGGAGGCAGCAGUAGGGAAUCUUCCGCAAUGGGCGAAAGCCUGACGGAGCAACGCCGCGUGAGUGAUGAAGGUCUUCGGAUCGUAAAACUCUGUUAUUAGGGAAGAACAAAUGUGUAAGUAACUAUGCACGUCUUGACGGUACCUAAUCAGAAAGCCACGGCUAACUACGUG